UACGAAGGGGGCUAGCGUUGCUCGGAAUCACUGGGCGUAAAGGGUGCGUAGGCGGGUCUUUAAGUCAGGGGUGAAAUCCUGGAGCUCAACUCCAGAACUGCCUUUGAUACUGAAGAUCUUGAGUUCGGGAGAGGUGAGUGGAACUGCGAGUGUAGAGGUGAAAAUUCGUAGAUAUUCGCAAGAACACCAGUGGCGAAGGCGGCUCACUGGCCCGAUACUGACGCUGAGGCACGAA
rnacentral:rRNA from 1 species